AUGCAAGCGAAACAUUCUGGGCUAAUCACAUCCAUCAAAAUCUGCCCACAAAAUUUGCAACUUAAGAUGAAAUUAAAGUUUCUGAUAAAGACUCACAUGUAUGACGUCGACCUUGACGCCGUCGAUGCCGGAGGCCUGGAGGUGGGAGUGGAGGCCCUCGUAGAGCUCGCGCGCGUGCUCCGGGUCGACGAGCCCGACGCCGUUGUUGACGAUCUUGUCGACGGCGAGGUCCUCCAUGGUGCGCUUGAGCCCCGGCGAGAGCUUGGGCGCCACGACCUUGGUCGGCGGCAGCCCCGGCGUGCCGGGCCGGAGCCCGCCCCAGUACCCGCAGAGCGCGUGCCACACGUACACCUGCUCCACCGUCGGGAACGCCGCCUUCAUCUCGCGCACGAAGCCGCCGAGGCCGAGGCCGCCCUUGUAGUCCCUGAACUUGUGGUUCUCCUGGAACUUGAUGAGCCGGCACGGCAUCUGCUCGCCGGCGGCCGUGCGGUUCAUGCCCUCGGCGCCGUCGGCGGGGUCGUCAUCGUCGUGGCAGAUGGACUGCCAGCCGUCGUCGAUGAGCACGAGGCCCGGCGGGCACCCGCCCUCCGCCAGCCCGCGCACGCCCUCCCACACCCCCUCCGGGUGCACCUUGAGGUAGAAGGCGUCCCAGGUGCACCACCCGAACUUGUCCACGAUCGGCGGCGGCGUCUUCUCCUCCAGCAGCCGGAAGGUGCCGAGGUGGGCGCGCACCACCCUGGCCGCCUCCCUCGCCAGCUCGAACGGGUCGUCGCCGGCGUGCAGGUACACGGCGCUCCGGAAGACGGACCCCUUCACGACCGACGAGCCGCUCUCGAGGCAGAGGGCAACGUGGUCGUCCUCGCCGGACUGGAGGCUUGCGCGGAAGGCGCCGUCGACGAUGGGCAGGAGGAGCAGGUAGGGGCGGUCGGCGGUGCGGUCGAGCACCAUCAUCUGGGUCUCGUUUUCCACGUCGCGUCCGGCGGUGCCCACCCAGUGCGUCGUCCACCACACCUUGAAGCGGAAGAUGCUCAUGAACCGCGUGUCAACCAGCUUGCCGAUCGGCACCACAUGGCGGCUCUCCGGCGCCGGGGCGUCGAAGCCGAGGAAGCUGCCGUCGGUGGCGCCGGCUACCUCGGCAGCGGACACGAGGACGGAGGCCGGGGUGAGGCGGAUGUUGGCGGGGACGUCGAGGAGGGCCGGGUGGCCGUCGACGGCGAGGUCCUUGCCCUUGAGCGUGAAGCGCGGCGAUUGCUUGAGGCCGUCCACGGCCACGUCGCCGAGCAGGUCGUCGGUCGCCUUGCUGAGGUUGGGAGCCAUGGCCGGCGGUGCUCGGCUCGCUUGCGGUGGAGGCUUGGGGUUUUGCUCUGCUUUCGUAUGCUUGGUUUUGCUGUAAGCUCGUGUUGUGUGCUUUGGCGAAUUGAUCGGCGGCCAAUUGGCGCUGGAUUUAUAGGGGAUUUGGGUGCGGCCCACAAGGAAAGCUCUGCUCCCUCGAAGGGAAUUCUUCUUCUGGCGGUGCGAAAAUUUUCUUUUCUUUGA
rnacentral:rRNA from 1 species